rnacentral:rRNA from 1 species
CUUGGUCAUUUAGAGGNAGUAAAAGUCGUAACAAGGUUUCCGUAGGUGAACCUGCGGAAGGAUCAUUAUUGAAAUAAACCUGAUAGGUUGUUGCUGGUUCUUUCGGGAGCAUGUGCACACUUGUCAUUUUUAUAUCUCCACCUGUGCACCUUUUGUAAAUCUGAAUAUCUUUCCGAAUGCCUCGCAUUCAGGUUUGAGGAUUGAUCUUUUUCUUUCCUUACAUUUUCAGGUUUAUGUUUUUCAUAUACCCCAAAGUAUGUUAUAGAAUGUUAUAAAGGGGCCUUUGUGCCUAUAAAUUUAUACAACUUUCAGCAACGGAUCUCUUGGCUCUCGCAUCGAUGAAGAACGCAGCGAAAUGCGAUAAGUAAUGUGAAUUGCAGAAUUCAGUGAAUCAUCGAAUCUUUGAACGCACCUUGCGCUCCUUGGUAUUCUGAGGAGCAUGCCUGUUUGAGUGUCAUGAAACUCUCAACUGCUUCAGCUUUUGUGGUUGAAGUGAAGUUGGAUUUGGAGGAAUAAUUGCUGGCGUGACCUUUUAGGUUGCUUGUUAGCUCCUCUUAAAUGGAUGAACUUUCUAGUAGUAAAGUAACACCAAUGUGAUAAUUAUCUGCGUUGGAUGAGCUUUUAAAAGGAAAGAUAAAUCUGUCUUGAAGGGAAAACCUCUUGACGAAACAAAUGACAAAUUUGACCUCAAAUCAGGUAGGACUACCCGCUGAACUUAAGCAUAUCAAUAAGCGGANGA